UUGGGUACUUUGGGGAUGAAAUUUUUCAUUAUGUCAUUUGGGAUUGAGAACAUUUACCAUCACUGAGUCAUAUUUAUAUACCUCUGCUAGGUGUUUGUAAAUUAUACCUGGUACUUGAAUUUGUUUAUUUUUGUGUUUAAAGAACAUGGUUGGUGCAGGAGAGGUGGAUGAAGACUUGGAAGUUGAAACCAAGGAAGAAUGUGAAAAAUAUGGCAAAGUUGGAAAAUGUGUGAUAUUUGAAAUUCCUGGUGCCCCUGAUGAUGAAGCAGUACGGAUAUUUUUAGAAUUUGAGAGAGUUGAAUCAGCAAUUAAAGGUUAGUUGUACAGCUAAAUAUUAAAGAAUAAAAAAGUUGAAUUUACAGCCUUAAUCUUUACAAGUAAAGUUACUGUUUAAAGUUAAACCUUUAUCUUAUAGGAUACCUAUAUUAACUGUCUUUUGUUUGCCUUUCAGCGGUUGUUGACUUGAAUGGGAGGUAUUUUGGUGGACGGGUGGUAAAAGCAUGUUUCUACAAUUUGGACAAAUUCAGGGUCUUGGAUUUGGCAGAACAAGUUUGAUUUUAAGAACUAGAGCACGAGUCAUCUCCGGUGAUCCUUAAGUGAACUGCAGGCUGAGAAAAGAAGGAAAAAGGUCACAGCCUCAUGGCUGUUGCAUACCAAGACUCUUGGAAGGACUUCUAAGAUAUAUGUUGAUUGAUCCCUUUUUUAUUUUGUGGUUUUUUAAUAUAGUAUAAAAAUCCUUUUAAAAAAACAACAAUCUGUGUGCCUCUCUGGUUGUUUCUCUUUUUUAUUACUACUCCUGAGUUAAUGACAUUUUUUGUUAGAUUUCAUGGUA
rnacentral:sRNA from 1 species